GGGGAAUUUUCCGCAAUGGGCGAAAGCCUGACGGAGCAACGCCGCGUGAGGGAGGAAGGCUCUUGGGUUGUAAACCUCUUUUCUCAAGGAAGAUAAUGACGGUACUUGAGGAAUCAGCAUCGGCUAACUCCGUGCCAGCAGCCGCGGUAAUACGGAGGAUGCAAGCGUUAUCCGGAAUAAUUGGGCGUAAAGCGUUCGUAGGUGGUUUUGUAAGUCUGCUGUUAAAGCGUGUAGCUUAACUACAUAUAGGCGGUGGAAACUACAAGACUUGGGUGCGUUCGGGGUAGAGGGAAUUCCUGGNUGUAGCGGUGAAAUGCGUAGAGAUCAGGAAGAACACCGGUGGCGAAGGCGCUCUACUAGACCGCAACUGACACUGAGGGACGAAAGCUAGGGGAGCGAAUGGGAUUAGAUACCCCAUAGUC
rnacentral:rRNA from 1 species